GUGCUCGCUUCAGCAACACACAUACUGCAAUAGGAACAAAACAGAGAUUAGUGUGGCCCCUGCACAGAGAACACCUACAUUUGUGAAGGGGUCUAUGUAUGU
ensembl:snRNA U6 U6 spliceosomal RNA